GAUGAACGCUGGCGGCGUGCCUAAUACAUGCAAGUCGAGCGAACGGACGAGAAGCUUGCUUUUCUGAUGUUAGCGGCGGACGGGUGAGUAACACGUGGAUAACCUACCUAUAAGACUGGGAUAACUUCGGGAAACCGGAGCUAAUACCGGAUAAUAUUUUGAACCGCAUGGUUCAAAAGUGAAAGACGGUCUUGCUGUCACUUAUAGAUGGAUCCGCGCUGCAUUAGCUAGUUGGUAAGGUAACGGCUUACCAAGGCAACGAUGCAUAGCCGACCUGAGAGGGUGAUCGGCCACACUGGAACUUGAACACGGUCCAGACUCCUACGGGAGGCAGCAGUAGGGAAUCUUCCGCAAUGGGCGAAAGCCUGACGGAGCAACGCCGCGUGAGUGAUGAAGGUCUUCGGAUCGUAAAACUCUGUUAUUAGGGAAGAACAUAUGUGUAAGUAACUGUGCACAUCUUGACGGUACCUAAUCAGAAAGCCACGGCUAACUACGUG
rnacentral:rRNA from 1 species